rnacentral:lncRNA from 1 species
CUCGAGCUUCUCUUGUUCGUGAAUUUCAUGGUAUGAGUAGUCGCCUAGUGAAAGCAAUGCCGAGUUUGGUAUUUACUUCUGUUUUGGAAGAUAACUGUACAUCAAGAACAUGUGCUAUAUGCCUUGAAGACUAUUGUGUUGGUGAGAAGCUCAGGAUUCUGCCCUGCUGUCACAGUAAGUGUUCCCGUGCCAUUUUGUUUUUAAAUGCAGUAUAUUAUUUUGUUGGUUUGAUCUAUUUUCAGUGUAUGCUUGUGUACUGGGGGCAUUGUUCAGCUUGAAUUCCCUGGUACUGUGUGCAGUUCAUUGUUGGAUCUAAUGUUCAUCUGUGUUAAGACAUACAAUAGCCGUCACAUGUUGUAAACUUCUGGUGUAAUAUCAAUUACCACUUACCAUUACCUGGCAAAUAAGGAUGUCCUUUAUUGUGAGGCAGGUUUUUGAUAUUUUCCCUGCCAUCCUUUUAGGGUUCGUUGGAGAUAAGUGUACAAUGAAUGUUAGUUUUGAGGAAAUAAUAGGUUAUGAAAUAAAUGAUUUACAUUGCUCAGAGGCCUCAAGCAGGAUAUCUCUUUGCUUGGAAGCUUACACUGAUGUUCCAGCUUCUCCCACCCUUCUGUUCCUCUACAAACUAUGGUUAAGUAUUUAGUUGUUUGAACUAUGGUGUUUUCCUUUGCUAUACCUUUCCUUUAAAAAUGUGAGAUUUAAAAUCUCAGACACUUUGAAUUUGACUGUAUUGUAUCAUUGACGUUGAUCAUCACAAUUAAUCCUUGGAAACGGAAAGUGCUAUCACAUACUUGUUGCAACAAAUAAAUUAUAAAAACCACAAUAAAAAAAAUCUUCUAAUGAGAUUUCCAAAAAUGGAAAACUGGGAGCAGUUCUACUUUCUAGGUGCUACCUACUUUCAAUUUACAGUUCCUCUUGCUCAUAUUACUUGAUAGUUGAUUCCACCCACUUCUUUGCUAAUCCUGGUAGGGCAAUUUGGACUUGGAUUCUUCUGGUGUGUUUUCUUGCAAACCCCUUUUCCUAUUUUUAACUGAUAAGUUGUCACCUUGAAAUACCAUUUGGAAUUCCGCAAAUCCCUCAAACUUUUAAUUAAGCCUCUAUCAAUAUAUUAUUACAUUUUGAGGAGGAUUGUUGCUUGAGUCUUAUACAGAGUAUCAAUGUAUCAUGACCAUAUUCCUUUGCCAAUGUAGGCAUGUUAACAGUUUUUUUGGGCUUGAGUGUCAUACUGACAAACCUGAUGGGUUGAAGUGUGUUUUAACAAUCCCUCAAAAAAAAAAAAAAAAAGCAGCCACCGGUAAACCUCUUAUACAAUCCUAUUGCUUCUUAAUCUUCAACCUAUAACACAGACAUUUGUGAGAAUGGUUAAAAUUUUCAUUCCAUCUUAAUCUUGAAAACUUUUAAUUUUGCCAAUUGAGAAGUAGCUAUACUAAAGAACUGGCAUCCAAUGUUUUUUACAGCAGAACAAUGGGAUGAUUCAUUACCAGUUUAAUCUGGUCUCCGUAUUCCUCACAAGUCACUACGUACCACAAAUUAAACUAAUUGCUUAAUUUAUGUGGAAUCUUGGUCUUUGACUUACCAGUGGUAUAUGAAAAUUGAUUGUUGAUGGAUCAUGGAUGAAUGUAUAAAAUUCUCAUCAUAUGACCUGACGGGGGAUUUUUUUUUUUUUUUUCUAAUUUGCAGCCCAUAUCUCAAUGUCUAAGUAGUCAGCCCAAUUGGUUGGAAGGUUCAGAUGAUUGUUGAUUGACCUGGGAUAUAAUAUAAAAAACUGUCAUUAAUGUUUUGGAAAAAAUGAAAGUCCAAGAAUUGUCUGAAUCCCGUGUGUGGCUCUAUGAAUUCUAAAACUGUAAAUGGACGGUGUAAUGCUCCAGAUGAAAGAGUGAUCUUCAUUCAUAAAUCAAACUUGAAAAUAGGAUGCUAAUUACAUCUCCAACUUCUGCUCUUUGUAUUUUUGCCUUUAGACAAAUGUGCUUGACUUCUUGUGUUGGUCUGAGCCUUCUGAAGGUUUAGACAAGGCCUUUAUAUAUAUAUAUAUAUAUAUAUAUAUAUUGUUUCUUGUUUUCCUUUGUUUUUUAUUUUGCAAUACAUCACAUGCUAUUGAUGUUUUGUUGCUUAACAAGAUUAAUCUCUUCUGCCUACAUUGGUAUUACUUGUAUUUGCAUUAUGUGCAUAUUAAAUUAUGAUUAUAUUACAAGAUUACAUUAAUGCCAUUUUUCCUGAUGAGUUAUUGGCAGAGUUUCAUGCUGCCUGUGUGGAUUCGUGGCUUACUUCAUGGAGAACCUUUUGUCCAGUUUGCAAGCGUGAUGCUAGAACCGGCUUAACUGAUCCACCACCUUCAGAGUCCACACCCUUGCUCUCAUCAACCCCAGCAUCUAUGGCAUCCUCUGUCUUAUCUUCUGCAAGAUCAUCACUAGCUUCAUCUUCAGCAAUACAAAUUGCCCGGACAGCAUCUAUGGCAUCCUCUGCCUUACCUUCUGCGAGAUCAUCUCUAGCUUCAUCUUCAGCAAUACAAAUUGCCCGGACAGCAUCUAUGGCAUCCUCUGCCUUACAUUCUGCGAGAUCAUCACUAGCUUCAUCUUCAGCAAUACAAAUUUCCCGGGCAGCUUCACAGACCCCAUCUGUUUCCCGUAACCACUCCAUAGCCAGUACACCUUAUGUUCAGCCAUCUCUUAGGUCCUCCUACCAUCAAUCCCCCUCCC